CUGGAGGUAUCAGAAGUGCGAAUGCUGACAUAAGUAACGAUAAAGCGGGUGAAAAGCCCGCUCGCCGGAAGACCAAGGGUUCCUGUCCAACGUUAAUCGGGGCAGGGUGAGUCGACCCCUAAGGCGAGGCCGAAAGGCGUAGUCGAUGGGAAACGGGUUAAUAUUCCCGUACUUGGUGUUACUGCGAAGGGGGGACGGAGAAGGCUAUGUUGGCCGGGCGACGGUUGUCCCGGUUUAAGCGUGUAGGUGUGUGUUCCAGGUAAAUCCGGUUCACUUUAACACUGAGGCGUGAUGACGAGGCACUACGGUGCUGAAGCAACAAAUGCCCUGCUUCCAGGAAAAGCCUCUAAGCAUCAGGUAACAUCAAAUCGUACCCCAAACCGACACAGGUGGUCAGGUAGAGAAUACCAAGGCGCUUGAGAGAACUCGGGUGAAGGAACUAGGCAAAAUGGUGCCGUAACUUCGGGAGAAGGCACGCUGACACGUAGGUGAAGUGAUUUACUCAUGGAGCUGAAGUCAGUCGAAGAUACCAGCUGGCUGCAACUGUUUAUUAAAAACACAGCACUGUGCAAACACGAAAGUGGACGUAUACGGUGUGACGCCUGCCCGGUGCCGGAAGGUUAAUUGAUGGGGUCAGCGCAAGCGAAGCUCCUGAUCGAAGCCCCGGUAAACGGCGGCCGUAACUAUAACGGUCCUAAGGUAGCGAAAUUCCUUGUCGGGUAAGUUCCGACCUGCACGAAUGGCGUAAUGAUGGCCAGGCUGUCUCCACCCGAGACUCAGUGAAAUUGAACUCGCUGUGAAGAUGCAGUGUACCCGCGGCAAGACGGAAAGACCCCGUGAACCUUUACUAUAGCUUGACACUGAACAUUGAGCCUUGAUGUGUAGGAUAGGUGGGAGGCUUUGAAGUGUGGACGCCAGUCUGCAUGGAGCCGACCUUGAAAUACCACCCUUUAAUGUUUGAUGUUCUAACGUGGACCCGUGAUCCGGGUUGCGGACAGUGUCUGGUGGGUAGUUUGACUGGGGCGGUCUCCUCCUAAAGAGUAACGGAGGAGCACGAAGGUUGGCUAAUCCUGGUCGGACAUCAGGAGGUUAGUGCAAUGGCAUAAGCCAGCUUGACUGCGAGCGUGACGGCGCGAGCAGGUGCGAAAGCAGGUCAUAGUGAUCCGGUGGUUCUGAAUGGAAGGGCCAUCGCUCAACGGAUAAAAGGUACUCCGGGGAUAACAGGCUGAUACCGCCCAAGAGUUCAUAUCGACGGCGGUGUUUGGCACCUCGAUGUCGGCUCAUCACAUCCUGGGGCUGAAGUAGGUCCCAAGGGUAUGGCUGUUCGCCAUUUAAAGUGGUACGCGAGCUGGGUUUAGAACGUCGUGAGACAGUUCGGUCCCUAUCUGCCGUGGGCGCUGGAGAACUGAGGGGGGCUGCUCCUAGU
rnacentral:rRNA from 1 species